AUUGAACGCUGGCGGCAGGCCUAACACAUGCAAGUCGAGCGGAUGAAGGGAGCUUGCUCCUGGAUUCAGCGGCGGACGGGUGAGUAAUGCCUAGGAAUCUGCCUGGUAGUGGGGGAUAACGUCCGGAAACGGGCGCUAAUACCGCAUACGUCCUGAGGGAGAAAGUGGGGGUUCUUCGGACCUCACGCUAUCAGAUGAGCCUAGGUCGGAUUAGCUAGUUGGUGGGGUAAAGGCCUACCAAGGCGACGAUCCGUAACUGGUCUGAGAGGAUGACCAGCCACACUGGAACUGAGACACGGUCCAGACUCCUACGGGACGCAGCAGUGGGGAAUAGUGGACAAUGGGCGAAAGCCUGAUCCAGCCAUGCCGCGUGUGUGAAGAAGGUCUUCGGAUUGUAAAGCACUUUAAGUUGGGAGGAAGGGCAGUAAGUUAAUACCUUGCUGUUUUGACGUUACCAACAGAAUAAGCACCGGCUAACUUCGUG
rnacentral:rRNA from 1 species